rnacentral:rRNA from 1 species
UACGGAGGGUGCGAGCGUUGUUCGGAAUUACUGGGCGUAAAGCGCGUGUAGGCGGCCUUCUAAGUCUGGUGUGAAAGCCCGGGGCUCACCCCCGGAAGUGCAUUGGAUACUGGGAGGCUGGAGUACCGGAGAGGAGGGUGGAAUUCCUGGUGUAGCGGUGAAAUGCGUAGAUAUCAGGAGGAACACCGGUGGCGAAGGCGGCAUCCUGGACCGGCAUUGACGCUGAGGCGCGAAAGCGUGGGGAGCGAACAGG